rnacentral:tRNA from 1 species
GCCGCUGUAGCUCAGCCGGUAGAGCAGGCGCUUCGUAAGCGUCAGGUCGUCUGUUCGAGUCAGACCAGCGGCACCA